rnacentral:rRNA from 1 species
UACGUAGGUCCCGAGCGUUGUCCGGAUUUAUUGGGCGUAAAGCGAGCGCAGGUGGUUUAUUAAGUCUGAUGUAAAAGGCAGUGGCUCAACCAUUGUGUGCAUUGGAAACUGUUAGACUUGAGUGCAGUAGAGGAGAGUGGAAUUCCAUGUGUAGCGGUGAAAUGCGUAGAUAUAUGGAGGAACACCGGUGGCGAAAGCGGCUCUCUGGACUGUAACUGACACUGAGGCUCGAAAGCGUGGGUAGCAAACAGG